UAAAUGUACAAUUAUUGUACACUUUGACGGUAACAGCUCCAUCAUGUGUAUUGACUUUGAUACCAGCACUGGGAACGGCACUUUCUACAUGUGUUGAUGUACAUCCUUGUGCAAGAAUCCCAUGUAAUGAUGAGGAUGAUUUACUUGCUUGGGCAAGAGUUCCUGCAACUUCCACUUUUCGUUGAACCUACGUUUCAAUAUAUCCUUCGGCAACCGCGGAGGACUUCCACCCGCCAUGUCGUUUAAUGGUGACCAAGUCACUACCGCUGUUAGCUAAAUGUGAGACACUUGAACGCCGGAAACAGUGCCCAGUGUAUUGUGCCGGAUUGGCUAAUUGUAGAAACUCUGCAAUCUUUCGUGGCGUCUUGCCCAUUGUAUUGAUUCCGAUCGAAGUAGUAAUGCAGCGACCACUACGGUAUGUUACAAAGAAUCGUUGAUGGCAAGUAUUAACUGGGCGUAUGCUGCUAUAUUUUUUUAUAAUAUCAAUCCACAAUUUCUCGGUGAUGACAAACUCUCUCAUUACAUUUGUUUUUGUUUUAGGCACCGAUACAACAACAAUAUCAUUUUUAUAUUGGAUGUCGCCCAGUGCCAUAUUAGUCAGCUCCUCGCGUCUGCAUGCCCCACUGUAGCCCAUUAUUAAAAUAACCUACAACGAGAAUACAAACAAGAUACUCCUGUAGCUAGUACCUACCCACUAGAACAAAAAAUUCUACUUACUUUUGUAUCUAAAUAAUGCUUGUCGUCAGCCUCCUGAAUAAAUCGAUUAAUUUGCUCUAAA